CUGGCCCCUGUACCUCCUGUGGCAAGCAAGAAAGUCAGAAGGGGCCUCCCUGCCAAAGGCAGCUUCUCCCCAGGAAGAUGGUGGAGGGACAGGGCUGUGAUGGGGAAGUGGAGGUGGGUGUGGGAGACGGAGCCUCAACAGUCAUCCUGGUCCUGCCCAUUGAGAAGUGUGGGCAAAAGAACCCAAUGGGAGGAGCCAACCUGGUGAUGCAGCAGACUGAGCCUGUGCCUGUGGUGCCAGUAUCCUGUAAGGUGUCGGUUCAAGUACUGGCCGCUCUGCUUCCCAUCCAGCUCCCUGCUUAUAACCUGGGAAAGCAGCAGAGAAUGGCCCAAAACCACGGGACCCUGCACCUGUAUGGGAGACCCAGAAGAAGCUCCUGGCUCCUGGUUUCAGAUUGGUUCACUCUGGCCAUUACAGCCACUUGGGGGAAUGAACCAGUGGGUGAAGAUCUUUUUCUCUCUCUCCUUCUUUCUAUGUAACUAUGUCUUGUCAAUAAGAAUAAAUAAAUCUUUAAGAAAAGAGG